rnacentral:rRNA from 1 species
GAUGAACGCUGGCGGCGUGCCUAAUACAUGCAAGUCGAGCGAACGGACGAGAAGCUUGCUUCUCUGAUGUUAGCGGCGGACGGGUGAGUAACACGUGGAUAACCUACCUAUAAGACUGGGAUAACUUCGGGAAACCGUAGCUAAUACCGGAUAAUAUUUUGAACCGCAUGGUUCAAAAGUGAAAGACGGUCUUGCUGUCACUUAUAGAUGGAUCCGCGCUGCAUUAGCUAGUUGGUAAGGUAACGGCUUACCAAGGCAACGAUGCAUAGCCGACCUGAGAGGGGGAUCGGCCACACUGGAACUGAGACACGGUCCAGACUCCUACGGGAGGUAGCAGUAGGGAAUCUUCCGCAAUGGGCGAAAGCCUGACGGAGCAACGCCGCGUGAGUGAUGAAGGUCUUCGGAUCGUAAAACUCUGUUAUUAGGGAAGAACAUAUGUGUAAGUAACUGUGCACAUCGUGACGGUACCUAAUCAGAAAGCCACGGCUAACUACGUG